rnacentral:lncRNA from 1 species
UCUCUCUCCUGCUUGCCCCCAAAGCAAAAUACAAAGAAGAUGAAGAAAAUAUUGGCUAUUAAAAAUUCCACAGUAGAUUAAUAUGCCACGUUUAAGGUAACUGUAAAAAUUGGUGGCGUCAACAUAAAUGAUAUCAUUCAAUUCCAUAAAUGAAAUCCAUUUUCACGGCAGCACUCACACAACGCACCUGGAGUAGGUCUUUCCAUAUAGCUCGAGAAAACAUUUCUAGCGAGCCGCUUAAAUUAGCCGGCUUCCGACCACCCUCGUCUUAGCACCUCAAUCGUCUAUAGUAGUUCGUCCACUGCCGCACACCUAGCCAACAAAAACCCAAUCUAGUGUUGGCUAUUCCAAUAGACAUCACCACACCAUCCCUCGUCGACCAAAACACGAAAAGCAGAGACAUUAACCUAAUCGACGUAGCACCAUCACUGUCGCUGUAGCAGCGACAUGGCAACUGCAAUAGUAGUGUACAGGGCAUUUGUGAUCUCUGUACUCGGUUGGGAGGUUUUGAGAUUUGAGGGUUUUGUUUUAAUUUAGAACGUAAUAAAUACGGGUUUAUGUAAUGUUUAAGUAAUUUAGAGUAUUAAUCUAAUUGGGUCACUUUUCAGAGUAUAGGGCCUAAUUUCCCCAUAAUAGUUCGAGGGCAACUGAAGCUGCACUCUUCCGUCCUCACCUUAUUAAGAUGCUCGUGCUUAAUGUAGUGAUCAUCCGUCUAUCAAUUGAAUGGUGGGUAAACUUUUUUUUUUUUUGGGUAGCUGCAAGAGAGAAGUCGACCAUGUACAGCAAGAGAGUCAGCCGUCGAUGCCAUCGCCUCCGACGAAAUCUUGAGCAAAUACUAUGUAAGUAUGAUUUUCGUUCAUUGCUUGCUAUUGUGGUCGACUAAUAUCAAUUUCAAUGAAUGCAACCCGAAUAUAUUCUUGCAUUUUAAUCCAUUUUUUUUUCUUUUUUCCCAGUUCUACGUUUGAAACAGAAAGAUUAUUAUUAAUUUUUUUUUUUUUUGGAAUUCUUUGUUUCUUCCAUAAUUAUAUACGCAACAUUUAAUUUGAUGAGAUGCUUGGAUUUAUGAGUUAUUUCUAGGAAUCUAUGAGUGUUGAAUUUGGUGAUUUAUCGUUUUGAUUUAAUUUAUAAGGAAGGCGAUUUUUUCCCUUUUGUAAGUUUUCGCACUAUUUCAAUUCGGUCUCCUUCCCUUUUUAAGAUUUAUUAGCUGUAACAAUUCCAAGAAAAAAAUGAAAGGAUUAUGAGUUUUGUAAAUUUGUGGAUUUUACAUUGGUGUGUGGUUGUUGUCUAAUGUAGUGCAACCUGUCUUUCGUUUGGAUGUAGGAUGGCUGGAAAGAACUUCGAACGUUGUUAUAGCUGUAGAGAGAAGGGGCACUUCUUUGCGGAUUGCCCAAAGAAAUGAUGAUUCUCAUGGUGUAAAAUUGGAUAUGUGAAGUGCUUUGAUGUUGAGAGGGAAACGAAGAACAAGGAAAAAUUGUUCAAUUGCUGCCGUGCUAACUGUAAAUACUCGGAAUGGGUUGAUGAGGGAAAAUCGAGUACUAUUGCCGUUAACUUGAAUAGUCAGGCAGCACUUGAAGAAGUCCAGCAGUUCUCUCGCAUGUUCCAGACCCUUUGUCAGGUAACCGAAGAACAAAAUAUUGAGAUAUCUUUGAACCUGACAAUAAGGACGACCAAUGGAAGUGUGAGAGUGGAUAAGAAAGGGAAGGGACCGGCAUGAUUGGAAACACGAUGCUACCACCUUUGAUGUGCAACAUGUGUUGUGUUAUGUGGAGUUGAUGUGUUAUAUGUGUUGUGUUGUGUUGUGUGAAAAAAUCAUUUUAAUGUAGUCGCUUUUCAUGUUUCAGUCGUUAUAUGAAUGAUUUUAGUGUUAAUUUUAGUGGACUGCAAUUUGUUCUCUUCAUUAUGUUACUAGGAUUGAAUCUGAAAUUCCAGUUAUGUGCCAACAAUUUUUGUUUAAGAAAAGUUCUAUAUUCGAC